rnacentral:rRNA from 1 species
GACGAACGCUGGCGGCGUGCUUAACACAUGCAAGUCGAACGAUGAAGCCGGAGCUUGCUCUGGUGAAUUAGUGGCGAACGGGUGAGUAACACGUGAGUAACCUGCCCUUGACUCUGGGAUAACAGCGGGAAACUGUAGCUAAUACCGGAUACGACCCUCGGAGGCAUCUCCUGGGGGUGGAAAGAAUUUCGGUCAAGGAUGGACUCGCGGCCUAUCAGCUAGUUGGUGAGGUAAAGGCUCACCAAGGCGACGACGGGUAGCCGGCCUGAGAGAGUGACCGGCCACACUGGGACUGAGACACGGCCCAGACUCCUACGGGAGGCAGCAGUGGGGAAUAUUGCACAAUGGGCGCAAGCCUGAUGCAGCAACGCCGCGUGAGGGAUGACGGCCUUCGGGUUGUAAACCUCUUUUAGCAGGGAAGAAGCGAAAGUGACGGUACCUGCAGAAAAAGCACCGGCUAACUACGUGCCAGCAGCCGCCGUAA